rnacentral:rRNA from 1 species
CCUACGGGAGGCAGCAGUGGGGAAUUUUGGACAAUGGGCGCAAGCCUGAUCCAGCAAUGCCGCGUGCAGGAUGAAGGCCUUCGGGUUGUAAACUGCUUUUGUACGGAACGAAAAGCCCUGGGUUAAUACCCUGGGGUCAUGACGGUACCGUAAGAAUAAGCACCGGCUAACUACGUGCCAGCAGCCGCGGUAAUACGUAGGGUGCGAGCGUUAAUCGGAAUUACUGGGCGUAAAGCGUGCGCAGGCGGUUUUGUAAGACAGAGGUGAAAUCCCCGGGCUCAACCUGGGAACUGCCUUUGUGACUGCAAGGCUAGAGUACGGCAGAGGGGGAUGGAAUUCCGCGUGUAGCAGUGAAAUGCGUAGAUAUGCGGAGGAACACCGAUGGCGAAGGCAAUCCCCUGGGCCUGUACUGACGCUCAUGCACGAAAGCGUGGGGAGCAAACAGGAUUAGAUACCCUGGUAGUCCACGCCCUAAACGAUGUCAACUGGUUGUUGGGUCUUAACUGACUCAGUAACGAAGCUAACGCG